GAGACCUGCAACACUCAAAGAAGUUGCUGAGUUGCCUGGCGUCGAUGGGGUGUUGUUAUUAUCUCCAGCGGGAGAUGGCGUCGAAGGGUUAGUGGGAGUGGCUGUGGAGGAAGGGGGUGUCGCCGUUGAAGGUGAUGGUGAGGAAGAGGAUGGUGGUGUUGCCGUCGAUGGUGAUGGUGAUGGUGAAGGUGAAGGUGAAGGGGAGGAAGAUGACGGUGGGGUUGCUGUUGAGCUACCAGUGACGUUGAUGGCCAGUUUUUGACCGGCGGCGCAGUGACCGGGGACGGCGCAGAUAUAGAAAUGCUCGCCGGCGGUUCGAAGAGUGAUUCUUGUCGGACCGGUGGUGAAG
rnacentral:lncRNA from 1 species